GAUGAACGCUGGCGGCGUGCCUAAUACAUGCAAGUCGAGCGAACAGAUGAGGCGCUUGCUCCUCUGACGUUAGCGGCGGACGGGUGAGUAACACGUGGCUAACCUACCUAUAAGACUGAGAUAAGUUCAGGAAACCUGAGCUAAUACCGGAUAAGAUAUUGAACCGCAUGGUUCAUUAGUGAAAAACGGAUUUGCUGUCCCUUAUACGUAGAACCGGGCCGCAUUAGCUAGUUGGUAAGGUAACGGCUUACCAAGGCAACGAUGCGUAGCCGACCUGAGAGGGUGAUCGGCCACACUGGAACUGAGACACGGUCCAGACUCCUACGGGAGGCAGCAGUAGGGAAUCUUCCGCAAUGGGCGAAAGCCUGACGGAGCAACGCCGCGUGAGUGAUGAAGGUCUUCGGAUCGUAAAACUCUGUUAGUAGGGAAGAACAAAUGUGUAAGUAACUAUGCACGUCUUGACGGUACCUAAUCAGAAAGCCACGGCUAACUACGUG
rnacentral:rRNA from 1 species